rnacentral:snRNA from 1 species
AUACUUACCUGACGCGAGAGGCACCUUGAUCAACUAGGAGGUCCUCUCAAGAUGAGGCCCUUUCAUUGCACUUCGACUGGGUUGACUCCUGCGAUUACCCCUAAUGUGGGUAACUCGAGCGUAUAAUUUCUGGUAGUGGGGACCUGCGUUCGCGCUCGUCCCCU